AGCUUGGCCACACGGGAGAGCCCUGCCCUGUCCGCGGGUUUGAGAAUCGGGCAGGGCCUGGGGCGGGGUCCAGGUGGGCCCCCAGCCACUGUUUUCACUGAAGCUGGCGGUUGCGGCUGCCGCCUGCUUCCUGGCUGUGAAGACGCGCUCGCCACCCCCUCACAUCACAAAGGGCAGAAGAGCCAGCUGGUCAAGGGCUGUUCUUUUCUGUUUUCAAACAGCUUUAUUGGGAUAUGGUUCGCAUCCCUACGGUACCCCGUCGUAAGUGUGUCGUUUGAUGUCUCAGUGUUCAGGCAGGUGUGCACCUAUCACGGUGAUCAGUUUGAACACAUUCUCAUGUCACCCACAGAGCAGCCCCGCACCCUCCUGCCGACGCUCGCCACCCCCCCACUCCCCACCCCAGCCCCGCCGACACAAGCCUGCUUCCGUCUCUGCGGAUUUGCCUGCUCUGGACACUUCAUGGAAAUGGAGUCUGUGCUGGCUUCUGUCACUCAGCGUCACGCCCUCGGGCCCAUGCUGUAGCCCGCGUCAGGGUUUCCUUCCGUUGCCCCGAGUCCCAGGAGGCUGCUCCCCUUCCCCUGGCCCUCCGUCCGAUGCCAGGUCCAGACCGGGCCCUCCGGGCGAUGGAGACAGGACCGCACACACUCUGACGCACGGGGAAGCUGCUGUUUGGAUGACUGGGACGGUGCCCGAGUGUCCUCGGCACCAGCACCUGCAGCGUCUGGGCUUUGCGCCUCCCGCCGUCCCCUCCCAGCGUGCACGGUGAGCAGCUUUCCGGGACGUGGAAUUAGGGGCCCUGGGCCGUCCACCUUGCCGUCCCUCCUCCAGCCCCGUCACAUUCCGUAUGGCCGCUGGAUCCACCAGCCACAGACACCAGGUGACGAGCAUCUGGGCAGUGGGCACAGGGCAGCAGAAUGGCACCUGCCUGCGGGAGCGUGCCCGCUGACUGCCCAGAGGGGAAGAUUGAAAUACUCCGGAGGGACCUCAGAAGACCACUGAGGGGGCGGGGUCUCGUGUCCCUCGGGCCGGGGAGGUGCCUCCAGAAGCCUUCGCGCAGGCCCCAGGUAGGGGUGCCACGUCCCUGCGGACAGCACCGGGCGCUGACCUCAUCAGGGCUUCCCUUCAGGCCUCGCUGGAAUUCCGCCGGCCCUGAACAGCCGACGCUCCUGCCAGGCUCUCCCUGGGACUUCACGGGGGGCCAGGGCCCUAAAUAAUUCUUAUAAAACCCACGUCAGCCCCAAACU
rnacentral:lncRNA from 1 species